CCUUAGAGUUUGAUCCUGGCUCAGAACGAACGCUGGCGGCAUGCCUAACACAUGCAAGUCGAACGAGAUCUUCGGGUCUAGUGGCGCACGGGUGCGUAACGCGUGGGAAUCUGCCCUUUGGUUCGGAAUAACAGUUGGAAACGACUGCUAAUACCGGAUGAUGACGAAAGUCCAAAGAUUUAUCGCCAGAGGAUGAGCCCGCGUAGGAUUAGCUAGUUGGUGUGGUAAAGGCGCACCAAGGCGACGAUCCUUAGCUGGUCUGAGAGGAUGAUCAGCCACACUGGGACUGAGACACGGCCCAGACUCCUACGGGAGGCAGCAGAAGGG
rnacentral:rRNA from 1 species